UUAUAUACAUAUACGCACAGAAAGAGAGGCAAAAAGGGAGUUAAAAAAGGUUUUUGGCUGCUUGGAAUAGAGAGAUAGCAUUGAAAUCUCUUUUGGGGACUAUACAUACACAAUUCGACUGCCAGUAGAGAUAAGAAGUGGGCUGCAUACAUAUAAGCAGUUAUUGCAACGAUAAAAAAUAGUCAAUAUUCUUGGGAAAAAAAGGGCUGCCGGUUGUUGAAAGCAAAGAAAUAAACAUAUUGGCAGCAGCCUAUGGGAAGAAAAAAAAAAAAAAAGAAGCAGCUUUGGGAAGAGAAUAUACAAGCAUACAUAGGGCCACUGGCUAGGAGGAAAAACAAAGAAUUCAGAGCCAUUAAUAUAUCUUUACACGCAACCGAAGCUGAAAUUAAUAAAGGGCAACACACGGAAAGAAAAACGAAGAAGAAAAAAAAGACGGCGGAUUCGCUUUGCACGUUUUGUCAAAUUUUUGUGACGUCUUUUAACUUUUGAAUGUUUAAUUUCGAAAAUAUGCUUGGCUAAUUUUUCAUAUUGUUGGGAUGUGAUGAACCCUUUUUAUGAAGUUUUUAGUUUGAAUAAUUAAAUUGACG
rnacentral:lncRNA from 1 species